AGUGCUGGCUGUGUCACAGGGCCGGUCAACUGCUCAGAGAUCACUGGGGUGCAGCUCUAACAGGAUCGCAAAGCGAAUCCUGCAGAGAAGGAGGGGGAUCUAAGAAAACCAACAGAACCUCCUCAAGAAGUUGACGCAGAAAAGGUGCCUGGGAGGAAGUGUUCUGAGUCUUCACUUGACUGAACCUCAUGGAAGCAGAGGUGGGGUGGUCUGUUGAGAAAUGAGGAUCUAGAACUGACUGGUGAAGAGAGAGGUGAUGUUUUGGGUAUUUUCUAGAGAUAUAGCAGAGUGCAGCCUGAGCUUGGAUGCUGGCAACACCACCCACCUGCUGGUGAAUUUGGGUAGUUCUUUGCCUGUGUUUCCUACAAAAGUACCUACUUUUCAGUUUUAUUAUGUGGACUCUUGAAUUAAUAUAUGUAUAUGACUUAGAACAUAUCUGGCACAGAUUUGUUUGUUAAAUAAAAUAAAAAAUUUUAUCUCACAA